rnacentral:rRNA from 1 species
CUGGAGGUAUCAGAAGUGCGAAUGCUGACAUAAGUAACGAUAAAGCGGGUGAAAAGCCCGCUCGCCGGAAGACCAAGGGUUCCUGUCCAACGUUAAUCGGGGCAGGGUGAGUCGACCCCUAAGGCGAGGCCGAAAGGCGUAGUCGAUGGGAAACAGGUUAAUAUUCCUGUACUUGGUGUUACUGCGAAGGGGGGACGGAGAAGGCUAUGUUGGCCGGGCGACGGUUGUCCCGGUUUAAGCGUGUAGGCUGGUUUUCCAGGCAAAUCCGGAAAAUCAAGGCUGAGGCGUGAUGACGAGGCACUACGGUGCUGAAGCAACAAAUGCCCUGCUUCCAGGAAAAGCCUCUAAGCAUCAGGUAACAUCAAAUCGUACCCCAAACCGACACAGGUGGUCAGGUAGAGAAUACCAAGGCGCUUGAGAGAACUCGGGUGAAGGAACUAGGCAAAAUGGUGCCGUAACUUCGGGAGAAGGCACGCUGAUAUGUAGGUGAAGUCCCUCGCGGAUGGAGCUGAAAUCAGUCGAAGAUACCAGCUGGCUGCAACUGUUUAUUAAAAACACAGCACUGUGCAAACACGAAAGUGGACGUAUACGGUGUGACGCCUGCCCGGUGCCGGAAGGUUAAUUGAUGGGGUCAGCGCAAGCGAAGCUCUUGAUCGAAGCCCCGGUAAACGGCGGCCGUAACUAUAACGGUCCUAAGGUAGCGAAAUUCCUUGUCGGGUAAGUUCCGACCUGCACGAAUGGCGUAAUGAUGGCCAGGCUGUCUCCACCCGAGACUCAGUGAAAUUGAACUCGCUGUGAAGAUGCAGUGUACCCGCGGCAAGACGGAAAGACCCCGUGAACCUUUACUAUAGCUUGACACUGAACAUUGAGCCUUGAUGUGUAGGAUAGGUGGGAGGCUUUGAAGUGUGGACGCCAGUCUGCAUGGAGCCGGCCUUGAAAUACCACCCUUUAAUGUUUGAUGUUCUAACGUUGACCCGUGAUCCGGGUUGCGGACAGUGUCUGGUGGGUAGUUUGACUGGGGCGGUCUCCUCCUAAAGAGUAACGGAGGAGCACGAAGGUUGGCUAAUCCUGGUCGGACAUCAGGAGGUUAGUGCAAUGGCAUAAGCCAGCUUGACUGCGAGCGUGACGGCGCGAGCAGGUGCGAAAGCAGGUCAUAGUGAUCCGGUGGUUCUGAAUGGAAGGGCCAUCGCUCAACGGAUAAAAGGUACUCCGGGGAUAA